AUUUGGGAUUAUGAUCUUUCGGUCAUAUUUAAAAACUUUCGUUCUGAAGACAUGUGGCUAAAACAUUUUCUUAAAUAUCCUCCAAGUUUCCCUUUGUUAUUCCGAACCUUCCAGCGGGUGUUUUGCUGAGUGAGUAAGGCUUUACUGCCAGCGUUUGGCGCUCCUGGUCGAUGGAGCUAGACUCCUUCUCACCUGGGACGGGCCCGGUCCAGCCAGGUGCCCCUUCCGGCCUCCCCAGCAGACAGUGCAGUCAGUGGGGGGUAGGGGCUUACGGAGCCCUGUGAUGGUGGAGGACUGGGGAACUGGACCUCUCAGUCCAGUUAAUGAACUCACGGCCUGAGAGUGAGCCCCUCUGUCCUAUCCCUCCUUGCUGGAGGCCAGUGCCUCUGUCAUGCAGGCGCUGACAACGUACGGAAUACGCCCUUGUAGCAACCCUGGUCCAAUUCCCGCCUUUCAAGCGACAGAACGUAAUGCCAUGCAGCGUGGAAGACCCGCUGGGCCUGAGACAAGGAGAUGGAGGGAAUCUUGGAAGAGCAGCUCAGCUUCCAUCUCUGCACCACCCAGCUAGAGAGAGCCAAGCCUGAUUCCCUCACUGCUGGGAACCGUCCUAAUAUCUGUAGCAUUCUUCCUAAAUAUGAUCCAAACAAACCGACUGACCCUCGGGUUGAAGUGUGUAUUAUGAAUCAGUUCACUUGCACGGUUAGUCUUCAGUUGCUAUGGUAAUGCUUUGAGCUACUUAGGUUACUUAUUAUGGUCUGGCCUCUGUGUUCCUUGCCUCCAUAGGGCCUGGUGGAAUUCCUUAAGCAUCAUGCGGGCCUGAGAGCGGAGGUGGGCCCUACGGCGGAGGAGAACUUGAGAGACACCGAGCUGCUGGCUACGGAGCUGGAGCAGCUCCGCUCUGAGCUGCUGGCGCUGCAGAGCUCCGACGGGCAGCUGGUGGGCCUGGUGGAGGAGCUCUACGCUGAGGCCCAGCACAGAGCAGCACUGGUAGACAGCCUCCAGGAGGAGCUGCACAGUAAAUCAACGGAGGUCGAGGACCUGCGGAGACACCGGCAGAAACAGAGAGAGGAGCUGGAGCAGCUCCAGAGCGCCCACCAGAGGAAGGUGUGUGUGCUGCAGCAGGAGAACAGCAGCAGUGUUCAGAAGCUGCAGCAGACAGCCGUUCAGUUCGAGCGGCUCUGCAAACAGCAGCGCUACUGGAUGCUCUGUGUCAAAAGGUACAAAGACUGUCUGACGGAGGAGAGGGAGGCGGUGGUUCAGCAGGUCAGUGACCUGGAGCAGACCGUCCUGAAGCCCAGGGGAUGUUCCCACUGCAGCAGACAGUACCACUGCCCCCUGCAGGACAGGGGCAGCAACUCCAGGCAUCGGCACCAGUCUAUGUGUGGUGCAGAGUUCCGGGCUGACCAGCAGGGGGAGCCGUGGUCAGCCCUGUGUGAGGACAAAGUCAUCACUCAGGUGGGAGGCGUGGUCGACACGGAGCAGAAACCUCCUUGAGGUUCUCCCUCCGACCAGACGAGUGUGGCUCUCCUCCCAGCCCUCUUUAGAAGAUCGAAGAACACCAGAGAGACUGUACGUCGGAACUCCGUCCGCACUCUGGUUUCACUGUUGUUAUUGUGGAGUGAACACUGAAAUAAUAAAGAGACAAUGAAGACA
ensembl:lncRNA